AUCAAAAACAUGUCUUGUUGAUUUAAUAAUAUUAAGUCUAACCUGCUCAAUGAAUUAUUUUAAUAGCCAUAGUAUUUUAACUAUGCAAAGGUAGCAUAAUAAUUUGUCUUUUAAUUGAAGGCUAGAAUGAAUGGUUGGAUGAGGGAUAAACUUUCUUGAUUUAAUUAUAUUGAAUUUAAUUUUUAAGUAAAAAAGCUUAAUUUUUGUUGUGGGACGAGAAGACCCUAUAGAAUUUUAUUUUUAUUUAUGAUUUUAUUUUUUGAUAUUAAUUAUGUAAAGUCGUAAUUAGGAAUUUGGUUGGGGUGACUGUAGAAUUUAAUUAACUUCUAUUAUUGUUUUUCAUUAAUUAUUGUUUAAUUGAUCCUUUAUUAUGGAUUAUAAGAUUAAAUUACCUUAGGGAUAACAGCGUAAUUUCUUUGGAGAGUUCUUAUUGAUAAAGAAGUUUGCGACCUCGAUGUUGGAUUAAAGUUAAUUAUUGGUGCAGGAGCUAAGGUAAUUAGGUCUGUUCGACCUUUAAAUCUUUACAUGAUCUGAGUUCAAACCGGAGA
rnacentral:rRNA from 1 species